UACAGAGGGGGCAAGCGUUGUUCGGAAUUACUGGGCGUAAAGGGCGCGUAGGCGGCCCGCUAAGUCGAACGUGAAAUCCCCGAGCUCAACUCGGGAACUGCGUCCGAUACUGGCGGGCUUGAAUCCGGGAGAGGGAUGCGGAAUUCCAGGUGUAGCGGUGAAAUGCGUAGAUAUCCGAAAGAACACCGGAGGCGAAGGCGGCUUGCUGGGCGUGAUCUGACGCUGAGGCGCGAAAGCGUGGGGAGCGAACAGG
rnacentral:rRNA from 1 species